rnacentral:rRNA from 1 species
UACGAAGGGGGCUAGCGUUGUUCGGAUUAACUGGGCGUAAAGGGCGCGUAGGCGGGUCUUUUAAGUCAGGGGUGAAAUCCCAAGGCUCAACCUUGGAACUGCCUUUGAUACUGGAGAUCUUGAGUCCGGGAGAGGUGAGUGGAACUGCGAGUGUAGAGGUGAAAUUCGUAGAUAUUCGCAAGAACACCAGUGGCGAAGGCGGCUCACUGGCCCGGUACUGACGCUGAGGCACGAAGGCCAGGGGAGCAAACAGG